UGAGAUGCUGAUAUUCUCAUUUGUAGAUGGC
rnacentral:piRNA from 1 species